UACGGAGGGUGCGAGCGUUGUCCGGAAUUACUGGGCGUAAAGCGCGCGCAGGCGGUCUUCCAAGUCAGUGGUGAAAGCCCGGAGCUCAACUCCGGAACUGCCAUUGAAACUGUUAGACUUGAGGACGAGAGAGGUGAGUGGAACUGCGAGUGUAGAGGUGAAAAUUCGUAGAUAUUCGCAAGAACACCAGUGGCGAAGGCGGCUCACUGGCCCGAUACUGACGCUGAGGCACGAAAGCGUGGGGAGCAAACAGG
rnacentral:rRNA from 1 species